GGGGAAUAUUGCACAAUGGGCGCAAGCCUGAUGCAGCGACGCCGCGUGAGGGAUGACGGCCUUCGGGUUGUAAACCUCUUUCAGUAGGGAAGAAGCGAAAGUGACGGUACCUGCAGAAGAAGCGCCGGCUAACUACGUGUCAGCAGCCGCGGUAAUACGUAGGGCGCAAGCGUUAUCCGGAAUUAUUGGGCGUAAAGAGCUCGUAGGCGGUUUGUCGCGUCGGCUGUGAAAACUCGGGGCUCAACCCCGAGCCUGCAGUCGAUACGGGCAGACUAGAGUGCUGUAGGGGAGACUGGAAUUCCUGGUGUAGCGGUGAAAUGCGCAGAUAUCAGGAGGAACACCGGUGGCGAAGGCGGGUCUCUGGGCAGUAACUGACGCUGAGGAGCGAAAGCGUGGGGAGCAAA
rnacentral:rRNA from 1 species